GGUGGGGUACCGAAGUGGCCAACCGGGACAGACUGUAAAUCUGUUGUCACACGACUUCGUAGGUUCGAAUCCUACCCCCACCA
rnacentral:tRNA from 2 species